AGAAAAAUCAACCAAAAAAAAUGAGUUCGCGUGUCACCUCUGACACGCGUCAUAGGUUCGCCAUCACUGUAAGUCAUAGGUGACACUCAACCACUGAGCCACCACGGCUGGGCUGCAUUCUUGAAUUUUCAAUUCAUAGUUUUGACAUGGUUUUGACAUAAGUGCGUUACAGGACUUCUCUCACAGCCACGCACUGGGGUUCAGACUGGGAAAGGGACAGCCGGGUGCACGUGGGUCUCUAACCUGUGCUUGUCUGGCCCCACCUCUCCCUUCCCAGGCCUCACCUUAACCCCUAUCUGCCUCCGGCACACAGAGGCAGAUGUGCUAUCUGGGAUGAAGUUAAAUUUAAAAACCAGAACAGAGCAGCAAGGUGAGUUGGAGAGAAGCAGGGCAGUGUGGACGGCAGGAGUCCGAGGGUGGCAGAUGCGGCUGACUGAGGCUCCUGCCUGCAUCCUGCUGUCAGAAAGUGCUUGGCGGGAUGGGGCCGGGCCUCGGAGCCCAGCUGUGCCUGAGGACGCCGGCCUGGGACCCGCCACCACGGUCUCGUGCGCGGACUGCGGCCCCCACACCCCGUGCUGCAGGUGGAUGGUCAGGCUGCCGCCCAACCUCAGGACCACAGCAGCAGAGCCCACUGACCUCCUGUGUGUGGCGAAGUUGUCCAGGUCGGCAUUGCGCACCACCCGGUCGUAGGGCACGUUGGCCGUGAUGAGGCUGUGGCUGGUGAAGGCCAGGUGGCGGACGGGGUGUCUGGAACACAAGGGGAGAGCACUUUGCUGAAGCACUGAGCCAGGACACCCAGGGUGAAAAAUGUCCAGUGCAAGCGGAGACCUGCCAUCAGAGAUGCCCGCCUAGUCAAGGGAGAUGCCUGCCCUGGGUGCCCGUCCACAGAGGAAGGUGAACUCUGCCUCCACAUGGGCAUCGGCUGCCCUAAGGAAAAGGACUCAGAGUGAGCAACCUGUAGCUAUUCGGAAAGAAAGUGCUGCAGCAAAAUCCCGGAGGACUGUGAGGAGCCAACACACAGACCACGCAGUGACGCACAGAACAAACACUGAGCGUAGCAUAAGCGGACAGCCGGCUUAAGACCGAACGUGUCUGCCGGGCAGUAGAUACACACAGAGCAAACCCACCUAGAAGAGUUCAAACGGGUCACAAAGCAAAAUUCAAUAUGUGCUACACACACAUGCCAUGUGUGCAGGUGCAAGGAAGAGGUAGCAAUUUUCACACCAGAAAAGGGAUUUCAGAGCACAGAGAUGAGAUGAGAGUACUUUAGACUGAUGAAGGGUACAAUUCACUAAAUGUUCAGUAAAACCUGCCUGGAAAAAACCCAGAAAACCUACAUGGACCUAAUUUUUUAAUUUGGUUUCUUUGGUCAUUAUAAUCUGUUCAGGUCUUCUUUUUGUUUAAAUCUCCAAAUCUGAAGAUACAGAUGAAUGCAUGACUUUCCAAGAAAGACCCCUGGGGGCAGACAGUCCCAACAGAAGUAACAAAGAGUACACUGGGGCAGCUGUCCCGCACAGAGCACCUGGCCUGCCUGGGAGGAGCCCCCGGCUGCGGCACUGCCCGCAGGAGCAGAGGAAGCUUCCAGACCUCCAUAGAGCCAGCACGCUCUUCCAAGAAACCGACCAGGAGAGCACGCGGGAAGGCAGCAAUCGAUCGGCACCAAGGCUAAGACCUGAAUGAAAUAUUAACUAACAGAAUCCACCCAGCUCCUGUGAGCACAAUUCACCUACUGUUGUAACAAACGAGAAAAAACACAUGGUCACUCCCAUGGAUGCUGAAACGAAAUCUGAUGAAAUAUAUUUAUUCCUAAUAAAAAGUCUUUAAAAAAUAGUGAUCUAUACUUUUACCACUAAUAUGUCACAUUGUUUUUAAAAAAUGGAUAUAAUUAAAUAAAAGAAAAUAAGGUGGGAAUCCAGUAAUCGAGUAAAAAUGAGGUGAGAAUCAAAUGCAAAUUAAUGUCAAAAUCAACAGCUGUAUCUUAUGUACCAAUAACCACUAGCUUUAAAAAUGUAAGGCCCCACUUAUAAUAGCAAUUAAAGGCAAAAUACCCUAUAACUUUAUACCAUAUACAUUAUACCGAAAUAAAUUAUAGAAGGCUCAAGAGUCAGCAUAAUUAAACUCUAAAUAGUCAGAAUAGGAAAGGCCUUUCUAAAUAUAAAAAACCUGGAAGUCAAACAGAAAAAUAUUGAUAACUGUAUAUAAAGUAUUUAAGGUUUUCUCACAUGGGGGAGAAAAUCAUAAGUCAAAAUGAUCAAGUGGGGAAACGGUUGGUAACAGAGAGGGCUGGCAAAUGCCUUCAAAUUGAUAGUAAAGAUUGACAACCCAAAAGUAACAGGAGAGAAAAGAAAACCAUUCACAGAAAAGGAAAUACUAAUGGUUUUUAAACAUGUGUGACAUGUUCUAGUUCACUGGCGAUGAGAGAAAUUAGGAAGUAAAACUAAUGCAAUACACCACUUGUCCCCUAUCACCCAGCAAAGAUAAAGUUUGGCAGAACGCUCUGAGCCCCUCCGUGCUGUGAGACCUGGAGGCAGGUACUUAUGUGUGGCUGAUGUGAGCAUAAAUCCCUCUGGGGAGUGACUUGGUAAUAUCCAACAAAAUAAAAAACACACUACUGACCUGGCAGUUCUGCCUCUAAGAAUUCAGGAUAUAUCGCACGUGUCCAAAUGCAUACAAGGCCACUGGCCACAGCACUGUUUUUAGUAGCAGAAGAUGGGGCUUCUGUUUCAGCAACGUGUUGACCCACUCAUUGAAAAUCCCUUAAUACUGCUGGAUAUCCUUUUAAAUGCACUACUGAGCUCACAAAACCAGCGACUUCCCCAGGGCUCGAGCUGAGAACCAGCCUGGAGAGCUGGAGCUGCAGUGCCAGGCUCCUGUGUGCACGUGUGGUGGGUGAGGCUGCUGGCAGGUGCCAAUCUCAGGAGCCAAUGGGUCUGGAU